AUGAGACCUUACUACUGUAGCAUUUUCUCUCUUUUUCUUCUCAAAACCCUAUUUUCCGAAAUCUCUUUCAAACCCCAACCCAGUUCUUGGUCGCGCGCUGCUCUAGUUCAAGGCCCAACAAUUUCCCAGAAUUAUUCCAGUCUACCACUCCAGUUCUUGAUGCUCGUCUUUGUUCAUUCAUUUUCAUGACAAGGUUAAAGACGAUUGCUGAUUACGGCUAACCCUAGAAACUUCAAUUGAAACUCAAAUUUCAAAAAUUACGAGGAAAAGAAGGAAGUAAAAGAAGAAAAAUUGAAACUCGAAGAGAAGUAUAUGUGGGCUAUCGUUGAUGGUGUCAAAGAAAAGGUGGGUAACUUUAGAGUUGAGCCUCCUGGAUUGUUUAGGGGCCGCGGCGAGCAUCCCAAGAUGGGGAAACUCAAAAAGCGUAUAUAUCCAAGAGACAUUCCAAUAAAUAUAGGAAAGGACGCUCCGAUUCAAGAGUGUCCUAUCCCUGGCCAGAGGUAGCGGUUUACUCAAUUUCCUAUUUGUUAUGUUAUUAACUGUUUGUUUGUAUAGGUACAUGGUGCUGAGGUGGGAAAAUGAUAUGAUUAUUGAAAUGACAUUCUUUGUAGAGGAUCAGACUCACAACUCGGAAAGUUGCCCGGUUAGGAAUAUGUAAGAAUAUGUUAUAGGUUGGAAUUCUUUUGAUCAAGCUUUAUGCUCAAGAUCGAACAAUAAUGUAAAUUUACUAU